GGAGUCUGGGCCGUGUCUCAGUCCCAAUGUGGCCGUUCAUCCUCUCAGACCGGCUACCGAUCGUAGCCUUGGUGGGCCGUUACCCCGCCAACAAGCUAAUCAGACGCAUCCCCAUCCUUAACCGACAAAUUCUUUGGUCCGGGUCAGAUGCCCUCGCUGGACCACAUCGGGCAUUAAUCCGGUUUUCACCGGGCUAUUCCCAAGUUAAGGGAAGGUUGGAUACGCGUUACUCACCCGUGCGCCGGUCGCCAUCAAAGGAAGCAAGCUUCCUUCAUGCUGCCCCUCGACUUGCAUGUGUUAAGCCUGUAGCUAGCGUUCAUC
rnacentral:rRNA from 1 species